UUUUUUUUUCUUCUUCUUCGUCUUCUUUAUCUUUUUCUUCUUCUUCUUCAUCUUAGUUAUCUUCUUCUUCUCGUUCUUCUUCUUUCUUUCCUUCUUCUUCUUCUUCUUUAUCUUUUCCUUCUUGCUCUUCUUUUCAUCUCAUCAUCUUUUCAUUAUUUUUCAAGUCUUGUUAUUUCUAUCCCUCCCUGUCAUGACCACGCGCGCGCAUCCCUCGGCGUCCCCUCGGCGUCAAUGGCAGACUCACGGUUCACGGCUUCAAGAGGUUUGCGGAUUAUCUCGACUCCAGCGGCGCGCACAAUAACACCUCGCUGACACAACCUCCUCCUCGCCUCUCUUCACCCUCCCACCCACUGACUCUGAAUCAACGCCAGCUCGUCAAUUAACACACACACACACACACACACACACACACACACACACUCCAAUCAUCGCCCACUCUCUCACCAACACCUUUCACUUAACAAGAUUUAGUCCGUUUCAGAUUGCCGCCCACAGAUGUUCUCGUGUGUGUUUGGCGACGUUGUUAAUUAAGCUGUUUUUGAGAUUAGGUAAGGUAAGGUAAGGUAUGGUUAGGUAAGGUUUGGUAAGGUACGGUAAGGUGAGAUAAGGUAAGGUGAGGUUAGAUAGGGUAAGGUUAGGUAAGGUAAGGUAAGGUAAGGUUAGGUAAGGUAAGGUUAGGUAAGGUAAGGUAAGGUAAGGUAAGGUAAGGUAAGGUAAGGUAAGGUAAGGUAAGGUUAGGUAAGGUAAGGUAAGGUUAGGUAAGGUAAGGUAAGGUAAGGUAAGGUAAGGUAAGGUAAGGUAAGGUUAGGUAAGGUAAGGUAAGGUAAGGUAAGGUAAGGUUAGGUAAGGUUAGGUAAGGUUAGGUAAGGUAAGGUAAGGUAAGGUAAGGUAAGGUUAGGUAAGGUAAGGUAAGGUAAGGUUAGGUAAGGUAAGGUAAGGUAAGGUAAGGUAAGGUAAGGUUAGGUAAGGUUAGGUAAGGUAAGGUAAGGUUAGGUAAGGUAAGGUAAGGUAAGGUAAGGUAAGGUUAGGUAAGGUUAGGUAAGGUAAGGUAAGGUAAAUAAGAUACGGUAAAUAAGGUAAGGGAAGUAUUUUGGUAACAGACGAACACACACACACACACACACACACACACACACACACACACACACACACGUACAACGGGGGAACAUAAUCACCCUGCUCGUUACUCGUUGAAUAUUGUGAAGCGCCAAUUUACGCGAUGGCAAAUAUAUUAUACAACAGCAAAUGCCCUCGUCAUAAAAAUAAUUUGGAAGCAUUUCGUAAAACCGUAUAUAGUUGACAUUUUGCGCUGAAAUCUAAUUCCUUCAAACUGAAUUUUCAAGCACGAGGCCGUGGCGGUGCUGCCCCCUCACGGCCAACUAAUGCCAACACAUCCACCGCUCACUCUCUGGGUCGUAUAUAAGACAUUUCGCCGCCCAAGAACACCUAUUUGACAAGGCUUUCGUGGGAGUUGCGGGCAUGUCUAGGGGGUAGUUUUAUGACCCUGGUGGUAGUGUGACCCUUCUUCUGUACCGUGAACCUGAAGAAACACUCAUUAGAACCUGAAGCUGAUGAGGAAGGAAGGAAUUGUAUUAUAAGACAUUUCGCCGCCCAAGAACACCUGUUUGACAAGGCUUUCGUGGGAGUUGCGGGCAUGUCUAGGGGUAGUUUUAUGACCCUGAUGGUAGUGUGACCCUUCUUCUGUACCGUGAACCUCAGGAAACACUCAUUAGAACCCGACUGAUCCCCUCUUUGACCUUUAGAAAUAGCUGAUGUGAGAAUGGACAAAAACAUUCAAACAACAACAAAAACGACGAUAACGACGCUACGCUAUUGGGGUAGGCGGUGGCUGAGUGGUAGCGUGCUGGGCCCACAUUCGCCGCGUGUGGGACGUCGCGGGUUCGAAUCCCCACGCUACCACCUGGGAUUUUUCAGUCACCGCCGAGUGGCUUAAAACUACCCACAUGCUGUCCUGAAGACCACCCAUCAACCCGGACUCUAGAGGAAACCGUCCAAGUGAAUCAAGAAGGAGUUCCGGGGGGCAGCAUGAGCCAAGAGAAGAUGGCGCCACUAUAAACACUUGCCUGCGACAUGACGGGCUGGGGCCAAACACCAUCCAGGCCCCUCAA